AAAUUGAAGAGUUUGAUCAUGGCUCAGAUUGAACGCUGGCGGCAGGCCUAACACAUGCAAGUCGAACGGUAACAGGAAGCAGCUUGCUGCUUCGCUGACGAGUGGCGGACGGGUGAGUAAUGUCUGGGAAACUGCCUGAUGGAGGGGGAUAACUACUGGAAACGGUGGCUAAUACCGCAUAACGUCGCAAGACCAAAGAGGGGGACCUUCGGGCCUCUUGCCAUCAGAUGUGCCCAGAUGGGAUUAGCUUGUUGGUGAGGUAACGGCUCACCAAGGCGACGAUCCCUAGCUGGUCUGAGAGGAUGACCAGCCACACUGGAACUGAGACACGGUCCAGACUCCUACGGGAGGCAGCAGUGGGGAAUAUUGCACAAUGGGCGCAAGCCUGAUGCAGCCAUGCCGCGUGUAUGAAGAAGGCCUUCGGGUUGUAAAGUACUUUCAGCGGGGAGGAAGGUGUUGUGGUUAAUAACCGCAGCAAUUGACGUUACCCGCAGAAGAAGCACCGGCUAACUCCGUGCCAGCAGCCGCGGUAAUACGGAGGGUGCAAGCGUUAAUCGGAAUUACUGGGCGUAAAGCGCACGCAGGCGGUCUGUCAAGUCGGAUGUGAAAUCCCCGGGCUCAACCUGGGAACUGCAUUCGAAACUGGCAGGCUUGAGUCUUGUAGAGGGGGGUAGAAUUCCAGGUGUAGCGGUGAAAUGCGUAGAGAUCUGGAGGAAUACCGGUGGCGAAGGCGGCCCCCUGGACAAAGACUGACGCUCAGGUGCGAAAGCGUGGGGAGCAAACAGGAUUAGAUACCCUGGUAGUCCACGCCGUAAACGAUGUCUACUUGGAGGUUGUGCCCUUGAGGCGUGGCUUCCGGAGCUAACGCGUUAAGUAGACCGCCUGGGGAGUACGGCCGCAAGGUUAAAACUCAAAUGAAUUGACGGGGGCCCGCACAAGCGGUGGAGCAUGUGGUUUAAUUCGAUGCAACGCGAAGAACCUUACCUGGUCUUGACAUCCACAGAACUUUCCAGAGAUGGAUUGGUGCCUUCGGGAACUGUGAGACAGGUGCUGCAUGGCUGUCGUCAGCUCGUGUUGUGAAAUGUUGGGUUAAGUCCCGCAACGAGCGCAACCCUUAUCCUUUGUUGCCAGCGGUCCGGCCGGGAACUCAAAGGAGACUGCCAGUGAUAAACUGGAGGAAGGUGGGGAUGACGUCAAGUCAUCAUGGCCCUUACGACCAGGGCUACACACGUGCUACAAUGGCGCAUACAAAGAGAAGCGACCUCGCGAGAGCAAGCGGACCUCAUAAAGUGCGUCGUAGUCCGGAUUGGAGUCUGCAACUCGACUCCAUGAAGUCGGAAUCGCUAGUAAUCGUGGAUCAGAAUGCCACGGUGAAUACGUUCCCGGGCCUUGUACACACCGCCCGUCACACCAUGGGAGUGGGUUGCAAAAGAAGUAGGUAGCUUAACCUUCGGGAGGGCGCUUACCACUUUGUGAUUCAUGACUGGGGUGAAGUCGUAACAAGGUAACCGUAGGGGAACCUGC
rnacentral:rRNA from 2 species